rnacentral:rRNA from 1 species
AAGAUGGCGACCGGCGCACGGGUGAGUAACACGUAUCCAACCUGCCGAUAACUCCGGAAUAGCCUUUCGAAAGAAAGAUUAAUACCGGAUGGCAUACGAAUAUCGCAUGAUAUUUUUAUUUAAAGAAUUUCGGUUAUCGAUGGGGAUGCGUUCCAUUGGUUUGUUGGCGGGGUAACGGCCCACCAAGACUACGAUGGAUAGGGGUUCUGAGAGGAAGGUCCCCCACAUUGGAACUGAGACACGGUCCAA